UUUUUCAAGAUAAUUCCAAUUUAUUUAUGAAUCAAUCUGGAUUACCAGUGGUAACCAUUCAUUUUAAAUUGAUACAAUUGAUCAUCUUGUGCCUGAAUAGACCGAAAACAAAUAAUCUUAAACAAUUUGAAUUGUUAUCACAAAUAUUCACGCCGUCCAACCGAAUCUCAUUUUUUGAUUGUGAUGAAAAUAUUCUUAAUCAU